AAUUGGAAUAACCACUUAUGAAUGAGAAUGUAAAUAUCACAGUUUACGGGAUUGUAUAUGUAGUUAAAAGCUUAUAUACAUAUAACAUAUGUUUUGUUUCUAUCAGUUAGAAGAAUAUGUAAAACGAAUUGAGCAAUGCUCGUGUUUCUUCUAUCAUCCAAGAUGAGAUCCAGGCGAUGUCUUGUUAAAAAAUGCUGGCAAAGUGGACGGGGCUGAUUCGUUGUCGAUGGUUUUAUUGAUAACGGCAACUGGAGAAAGAUCGUUUUCAUGUGUGGCCAUUUUUUGUACAAAUAUAUUCAGGUGCUUGAACCCAUAUGCACAUAAUGGUUCAAUGCUUAAAAUAUUGUAGAUGAAUUUUCCCUCCAGGAUUUCCAACUCUUUGGCCACUAUCGGAGAUACAGUGAACCAGAUAGGAAAGCCGUAUAUCAACAUGGGUCUAAUGGCCACUUUAUAAGGCAACAUUUUAGUGGACUGUGCAUGCGGAUUGAAUUUCAGCAUCUUAUCAAAUGUGAUGCCCAGAUAUUUAACUUUGGAUUCCACCGGAAUAUUGACACCAUUAAGGGUUUGCUGUUACUUUCGCCAUUGCUAUUUCCGGGGACUUAUCAUGGGCAUAAAUAAGGCAGUCAUCUGCGUAAAGGAUAGCCUGCGAAUCUUGAGACAUAUGUAUGAGGGAAAUCGUGUAAAAAUAUAUUGAAGAGAUGAGGCGCCAAAACACUGCCUUGGGGUACUCCGCUACAAACAGAUCCAAAGUCUGACACUGUGUUUUGGACAUCUACGCAAAAUUUUCUAUUUGUGAAAUAACUGUGAAGAAUUUUUACCAGAUGGCAUUCCUGUAUGAAGCCGAUGUCUAUUUAUUACUGUGCAGUGUGUCCUUUAGACCAAUUUGGCGACUAACAUCAUUAAGGGAUCUUACGUUGUAUGCGCAAAAACUCAGCUUUGGCCUCGGAUUUUGACAUUCUCGCAUACUCAGAGAGAAAGAUGUUGACUUCCUGUUCCAAAGUCAAAUCCUCAGGUUCCAGAAAAAGGGAUGCUAAUUUUAAAAAUUGAUCUAUGAUGGCAGGUUUUUGUUGCACUGUAUUUUGCUCAGAGGGACGAGUAUGAAACAAAUUGGAAAACGUAUGUCCUGGAGUAACCAUCGACAUGUUUACAGCUUUGUGAACAUUUGCCUUGGCAAGCGCCCUUUCUUCUUUGGCCUUCACUAUCUUUUGCUGACGCGCAGCAACAUAUUUCUUAUAAGUAGGACAUCCCCGCAAAUUCGCUGGAUGACCCUCCUCACCGCAAUUAUUACAAAAGGGAUUUGAUGAAUCCUCCUUUGUACGUUGGCAUUCAACCGGGCCAUGUUUUUGGUUGCAUUUGACACAAUUGUAUGACGAACUACAAUUUUUUGCAAUGUGGCCCCAACGCUGACACCUCCUACAUUGAAUUUCAUUGUCCUUCCUUAUUGGUUUUUCCCAGGAUACGAUUUGACUUUGCAAAGCUCUUAUGUUCGAAAUGUCUGAGAGUUUUUUUCCUGGCAACUAUGACACAAAAAGAGGCUAGUCUCAUUGUUUUUUGGUGUUUUAUAUUUUGCAACAUUUGCAACUGUAUUUGGAAUGACCUCCUCUAAUUCAGAUUUAAUAUCCUCUAUUUCAGUGUUCGCCGUAAGCCCUCGUAAAACAAAGGACGGCUGCUUUAAUUCUUUCGGUGUAAAAUAAUAUGAAUGUACACCCUUCUCACGCAAAAGGGCCAUCAUUGACGAGUGGACAGACGGAUCGGAAAAAACAAUUUACUUUUGUUUUUGUUCACAUUCUUUACCUUGAAAGAAAACUUUGGUAUUGUCUCCCUUAAGGAGUCAAAAAGCGCCUUAAUGUUGACAUUGUAAAUAAAACUUGGUGGACACCAUUUUUGCCUUGUCGCACCAUUGUUGUUGUUGAUGA